UAGCCUUUGACAUCCUAGGACGACUUCUGGAGACAGAUUUCUCCUUCGGGACCUAGUGACAGGUGCUGCAUGGCUGUCGUCAGCUCGUGUCGUGAGAUGUUGGGUUAAGUCCCCGCAACGAGCGCAACCCUCGUCCUUAGUUGCCAUCAUUAAGUUGGGCACCUUAAGGAAACUGCCGGUGAUAAGCCGGAGGAAGGUGGGAUGACGUCAAGUCCUCAUGGCCCUUACAGGCUGGGCUACACACGUGCUACAAUGGCAUCUACAGUGGGCAGCUAUUCCGCAAGGAUGCGCUAAUCUCCAAAAGAUGUCUCAGUUCGGAUUGUCCUCUGCAACUCGAGGGCAUGAAGGCGGAAUCGCUAGUAAUCGCGGAUCAGCAUGCCGCGGUGAAUACGUUCCCAGGCCUU
rnacentral:rRNA from 1 species